GAUGAACGCUGACAGAAUGCUUAACACAUGCAAGUCAACUUGAAUUUGGGUUUUUAACUUAGAUUUGGGUGGCGGACGGGUGAGUAACGCGUAAAGAACUUGCCUCACAGCUAGGGACAACAUUUAGAAAUGAAUGCUAAUACCUAAUAUUAUGAUAAUAGGGCAUCCUAUAAUUAUGAAAGCUAUAUGCGCUGUGAGAGAGCUUUGCGUCCCAUUAGCUAGUUGGAGAGGUAACGGCUCACCAAGGCGAUGAUGGGUAGCCGGCCUGAGAGGGUGAUCGGCCACAAGGGGACUGAGACACGGCCCUUACUCCUACGGGAGGCAGCAGUGGGGAAUAUUGGACAAUGGACCGAGAGUCUGAUCCAGCAAUUCUGUGUGCACGAUGAAGUUUUUCGGAAUGUAAAGUGCUUUCAGUUGGGAAGAAAGAAAUGACGGUACCAACAGAAGAAGUGACGGCUAAAUACGUGCCAGCAGCCGCGGUAAUACGUAUGUCACGGGCGUUAUCCGGAUUUAUUGGGCGUAAAGCGCGUCUAGGUGGUUAUAUAAGUCUGAUGUGAAAAUGCAGGGCUCAACUCUGUAUUGCGUUGGAAACUGUAUAACUAGAGUACUGGAGAGGUAAGCGGAACUACAAGUGUAGAGGUGAAAUUCGUAGAUAUUUGUAGGAAUGCCGAUGGGGAAGCCAGCUUACUGGACAGAUACUGACGCUGAAGCGCGAAAGCGUGGGUAGCAAACAGG
rnacentral:rRNA from 1 species